UACGAAGGGGCUAGCGUUGUUCGGAAUUACUGGGCGUAAAAGGGCUCGUAGGUGGCCAACUAAGUCAGACGUGAAAUCCCUCAGCUUAACUGGGGAACUGCGUCUGAUACUGGAUGGCUUGAGUUUGGGAGAGGGAUGCGGAAGUUCCAGGUGUAGCGGUGAAAUGCGUAGAUAUCGGAGGAACACCGGUGGCGAAGGCGGCAUCCUGGACCAACACUGACACUGAGGAGCGAAAGCCAGGGAGCAAACGGGAGUU
rnacentral:rRNA from 1 species